rnacentral:rRNA from 1 species
CCCUUAGAUGUUCUGGGCCGCACGCGUGCUACACUGAGUAAAUCAAUGGGUAAGGGAACACGAAAGUGCAACCUAAUCUUGAAAUUUGCUCGUGAUGGGGAUCGACGGUCGCAAUUUUCCGUCGUGAACGAGGAAUACCUUGUAGGCGCGUGUCAUCAUCACGCGCCGAAUACGUCCCUGCCCUUUGUACACACCGCCCGUCGCUCCUACCGAUUGAGUGAUCCGGUGAGGCUCUGGGACCUGGACGGAAAGAGCGUUUCGCUUGUUCUGUUUGGGAAACUUGGUCGAACCUUAUCAUUUAGAGGAAGGAGAAGUCGUAACA